ensembl:misc_RNA Metazoa_SRP Metazoan signal recognition particle RNA
UCUGGGUGUGGUGGCACACGCUUGUCAUCCCAGAUACUCAGGAGACUGAGACAGGAGGAUCACUUGAGUCCAGCGGUUCUUGGCUGUAGUGUGAUGCCAGUUGGGUGUCUACACUACCUUUGGCAUCAAUAUGGUGACCUCCCAGGAGUGGGGGACCACCAAGUCACAUAAGGUGAGAUGAAUCAUCCCAGGUUGGAAAUGGAGUAGGUCAAAACUCCCAAGCUGAUCACUAGUGGUAUGGCACCUGUGAAUAGCCACUGCACUCCAGUCUGAGCAAUAUAGCAAGACCCCAUCUCUA